AACGAACGCUGGCGGCAGGCCUAACACAUGCAAGUCGAGCGAAGCCUUCGGGCUUAGCGGCGGACGGGUGAGUAACGCGUGGGAACGUGCCCUUUGGUACGGAAUAGCCCCGGGAAACUGGGAGUAAUACCGUAUGUGGUCGAGAGACGAAAGAUUUAUCGCCAAAGGAUCGGCCCACGUUGGAUUAGGUAGUUGGUGGGGUAAUGGCCUACCAAGCCGACGAUCCAUAGCUGGUUUGAGAGGAUGAUCAGCCACACUGGGACUGAGACACGGCCCAGACUCCUACGGGAGGCAGCAGUGGGGAAUCUAGACAAUGGGGGAAACCCUGAUCUAGCCAUGCCGCGUGAUCGAUGAAGGCCUUAGGGUUGUAAAGAUCUUUCAGUGGGGAAGAUAAUGACUGUACCCACAGAAGAAGCCCCGGCUAACUCCGUGCCAGCAGCCGCCGUAAAAC
rnacentral:rRNA from 1 species